UGUGAGGGCUUGAAUAUUCUAAAGGCACCAGAUCCCAUCUGGUCUUGGAAGUUAAGCAAGGUAAUCUCUGACUAGUACUUGGAUGGAAGACCAUCAACUAACACCAGGAGCUGUUGAUG
rnacentral:rRNA from 1 species